UAAAUUUCCAAAAUUUUACAUGUAUACAUACUACAAAACUCACAAAAUCUUGAAAUUUAUAAUUUUUUUUUUAUUUCUCAAAAUCCAAAUCUACCAAUUACAUCAUUAUUUUUAAAAAUCCCUCAAAAUCUCAAUAUUAAUCCAAAUGACUUGAAACUAACAUUCAAAAAUCAAUUCUUAAGUAUGCUCUCAAAUUCAACUCUUAGAUUGACAAAAGAACCUUGGAGUUGCUGUACGAAUGUGGUUUUGUGCCUUGAGGUCUGAUUUUGAUCCAGAUUCACAACUUGUUCUCUUUAGAUAUCAAUUCUUCUUUUCUUGACGUAAUUUUUACUUAAACCUAUUGUUAACUCUCUUCUAAAGAUGUUUAUAUUAUUUACUUAUUUUAUUUACUUUAUUUUGAUAUAUUUAUGCUCCUAUAAAAUAAAUAAAAGUUCCUUUUAUAAAAGGUAGCAUUAAGACUAAAACAUUUACUAUCUUCCUAUCAUUUAUCUAUGUUUUUCUACUAUAUCCUUUUAAUUAG
rnacentral:lncRNA from 1 species